UACGUAGGGGGCAAGCGUUGUCCGGAUUUAUUGGGCGUAAAGAGCGUGUAGGCGGUUUGUCGCGUCUGCUGUGAAAACUCGGGGCUUAACUCCGGGCCUGCAGUGGGUACGGGCAGACUAGAGUGCGGUAGGGGAGACUGGAAUUCCGUGGUGUAGCGGUGAAAUGCGCAGAUAUCAGGAGGAACACCGGUGGCGAAGGCGGGUCUCUGGGCCGUAACUGACGCUGGAGGAGCGAAAGCGUGGGGAGCGAACAGG
rnacentral:rRNA from 1 species